rnacentral:lncRNA from 1 species
AUGACAGGAAAACAGUACUGGCUGCCAACUACCUUCUCUCUCUUUAUUUAUCAUGGUUAGUGCUUGUGUUUUGUCAGGAAGGCUCAAGGCAUCAUCCUGUAACUGAUUGGCAUGUUGGGAGGACGUAACCUGAAAUACAGGCCAGAUGGACAGACUGGCAUUUUUUGAGGCUCAAUAGAGGAAACAGACACAAGGCGACUCUUCUUGGUGAAGGAAAGAGCAUUAGUCCACAGCUCGCCUUUUCUUGGAGCUGCCUGUCCAUUCCCAGGAUUGCUUGCCCCUCCUGUAAGCAGUUUUGCCAGGUGGUUGCUGGUGAUGUUGCAGAUCAAAGCAGGUAUGGCAGCAGGGAGCAGGAGCUUUCCAGUGGAACACGUCACAAUGGGGAUCUCCUCCAAGAGUCUCAACUGGGGCAUCUCUGAAGUGGGCUGGACAAUCUUGAUGACUCAAGUUGUUUAGAGAGAACAGUAAUUAUCCAUUCUGAAGUAUCUGAAAUUAUGUGAAACUGUACUGCAGCCUGUGAGAAUGGUGCUUUCCCAGCCUGAAGGUGAGGGGAUGUGGUAAUGUUUGGGGGUGCACAGCCAGUUCAAGCAGUUCAGAACAGCACAUACAGUUAAACAAGAUGUGAUCUUGGGAGUAGCGCUUGGUGUGAACUCCCCCUGCAGUGGUGUGCUUCACAGAGGGCAAGUUGGAACAGGGGGAAGUAACAAAAGAGGUGUGGGGAUCAGCAGCCAAAGCUUGAGCUUGCUCCCCAGCCUGCAGCAGUAACAACAUGCUCAGAGGGACCUCGAGUAUCAGCCUGCUGCUGGGGACC